UAUCUAAGAAGAGGAGCGACUAUUAUCAGUAGUUCUGUGAAGACUAACCAGGUCAGUGAAACAGAACGAAAGGAAUCGUCGCCGAAAUUAAAUGAGUGGUAACCAUUUGAUUGGGGCUUGAUUUAAUAAAUCAAGCACUGUCGCAUUGAGAAAUGCGGAGCGCUUUGCAGACU
rfam:Lactobacillus sanfranciscensis TMW 1.1304, complete genome.